rnacentral:rRNA from 1 species
GGAUGAACGCUAGCUACAGGCUUAACACAUGCAAGUCGGAGGGCAUCGAGAAGAAGCUGCUUUCUUGUCGGCGACCGGCGCACGGGUGAGUAACGCGUAUCCAACCUUCCCUAUACUAGAGAAUAGCCCGGCGAAAGUCGGAUUAAUGCUCUAUGUUCUUCUUUGAUGGCAUCUGACGAGAAGCAAAGGCUCGCCGGUAUAGGAUGGGGAUGCGUCUGAUUAGCUUGUUGGCGGGGUAACGGCCCACCAAGGCAACGAUCAGUAGGGGUUCUGAGAGGAAGGUCCCCCACAUUGGUACUGAGACACGGACCAAACUCCUACGGGAGGCAGCAGUGAGGAAUAUUGGUCAAUGGGCGAGAGCCUGAACCAGCCAAAAGUAGCGUGCAGGAAGACUCGCCCUAGUGGGUUGUAAACUGUCUUUUAGUAGGGGAAAUAAAGUGAGGUACGUGUACCUUUUUGUAUGUACCCUAUGAAUAAGGACCGGCUAAUUCCGUGCCAGCCGCCGC